rnacentral:rRNA from 1 species
UUGACCUCAAAUCAGGUAGGACUACCCGCUGAACUUAAGCAUAUCAAUAAGCGGAGGAAAAGAAACUAACAAGGAUUCCCCUAGUAACUGCGAGUGAAGCGGGAAGAGCUCAAAUUUGAAAUCUGGCGGCUCUUUGACCGUCCGAGUUGUAAUCUAGAGAAGUGCUACCCGUGCUGGACUGUGUACAAGUCUCCUGGAAUGGGGCAUCAUAGAGGGUGAGAAUCCCGUCUUUGACACGGACUGCCAGUGCGCCCUGGGUGUGCUCUCGAAGAGUCGAGUUGUUUGGGAAUGCAGCUCAAAAUGGGUGGUAAAUGCCAUCUAAAGCUAAAUAUUGGCGAGAGACCGAUAGCGAACAAGUACCGUGAGGGAAAGAUGAAAAGAACUUUGGAAAGAGAGUUAAACAGUACGUGAAAUUGCUGAAAGGGAAACGCUUGGAGUCAGUCGCGUUGGCCAGAAAUCAGCCUUGCUCCUGCUUGGUGUACUUUCUGGUCUUUUACGGGUCAGCAUCAAUCUUGACCGCCGGACAAAGUCUUUGGGAAUGUGGCAUCUUUUGGAUGUGUUAUAGCCCAGGGUCGCAUACGGCGGCUGGGAUUGAGGAACUCAGCACGCCCGCAAGGGAUGGGUCCUUGGACCACAAAUUUUUUUCGUGCUUAGGAUGCUGGCAUAAUGGCUUCAAUCGACCCGUC